CCUACGGGAGGCAGCAGUGGGGAAUAUUGCGCAAUGGGCGAAAGCCUGACGCAGCGACGCCGCGUGAGGGAUGAAGGUCUUCGGAUCGUAAACCUCUGUCAGCAGGGAAGAACGGUCACUGUGCUAAUCAGCAGUGAAUUGACGGUACCUGCAAAGGAAGCACCGGCUAACUCCGUGCCAGCAGCCGCGGUAAUACGGAGGGUGCGAGCGUUAAUCGGAAUUACUGGGCGUAAAGCGCUCGUAGGCGGUAUGUCAAGUCAAGGGUGAAAUCCCCGCGCUCAACGUGGGAACUGCCUUUGAAACUGGCAAACUGGAGUGUGUGAGAGGAUAGUGGAAUUCCAGGUGUAGGAGUGAAAUGCGUAGAGAUCUGGAGGAACAUCAGUGGCGAAGGCGACUAUCUGGCACAUAACUGACGCUGAGGAGCGAAAGCGUGGGUAGCAAACAGGAUUAGAUACCCUAGUAGUC
rnacentral:rRNA from 1 species